UAUAUACUCCCUCCGUCCAAAAAAGUUUGUCCCACAAAUGGAUGUAUCUAGUAUCAAGUUAGUGCUAGAUACAUCCAUUUGAGGGACAAACUUUUUCGGACGGAGGGAGUAUUUU
rfam:Triticum aestivum genome assembly, contig: Triticum_aestivum_CS42_TGACv1_scaffold_158295_2DL